ensembl:snRNA U1 U1 spliceosomal RNA
AUACUUACCUGGCAGGGGAGAUACCAUGAUCACGAAGGUGGUUUUCCCAGGGCGAGGCUUAUCCAUUGCACUCCGGAUGUGCUGACCCCUGCGAUUUCCCCAAAUGUGGGAAACUCGACUGCAUAAUUUGUGGUAGUGGGGGA